rnacentral:rRNA from 1 species
GAUGAACGCUGGCGGCGUGCCUAACACAUGCAAGUCGAGCGAUUCUCUUCGGAGAAGAGCGGCGGACGGGUGAGUAACGCGCGGGUAACCUGCCCUGUACACACGGAUAACAUACCGAAAGGUAUGCUAAUACGGGAUAACAUAAGAAAUUCGCAUGUUUUUCUUAUCAAAGCUCCGGCGGUACAGGAUGGACCCGCGUCUGAUUAGCUAGUUGGUGAGGUAACGGCUCACCAAGGCGACGAUCAGUAGCCGACCUGAGAGGGUGAUCGGCCACAUUGGAGCUGAGACACGGUCCAAGCUCCUACGGGAGGCAGCAGUGGGGAAUAUUGCACAAUGGGCGAAAGCCUGAUGCAGCAACGCCGCGUGAGCGAUGAAGGCCUUCGGGUCGUAAAGCUCUGUCCUCAAGGAAGAUAAUGACGGUACUUGAGGAGGAAGCCCCGGCUAACUACGUGCCAGCCGCCGCGGUAA